rnacentral:rRNA from 1 species
GGGUGACUGCGUACCUUUUGUAUAAUGGGUCAGCGACUUAUAUUCUGUAGCAAGGUUAACCGUAUAGGGGAGCCGCAGGGAAACCGAGUCUUAACUGGGCGUUAAGUUGCAGGGUAUAGACCCGAAACCCGGUGAUCUAGCCAUGGGCAGGUUGAAGGUUGGGUAACACUAACUGGAGGACCGAACCGACUAAUGUUGAAAAAUUAGCGGAUGACUUGUGGCUGGGGGUGAAAGGCCAAUCAAACCGGGAGAUAGCUGGUUCUCCCCGAAAGCUAUUUAGGUAGCGCCUCGUGAACUCAUCUUCGGGGGUAGAGCACUGUUUCGGCUAGGGGGUCAUCCCGACUUACCAACCCGAUGCAAACUACGAAUACCGAAGAAUGUUAUCACGGGAGACACACGGCGGGUGCUAACGUCCGUCGUGAAGAGGGAAACAACCCAGACCGCCAGCUAAGGUCCCAAAGUCAUGGUUAAGUGGGAAACGAUGUGGGAAGGCCCAGACAGCCAGGAUGUUGGCUUAGAAGCAGCCAUCAUUUAAAGAAAGCGUAAUAGCUCACUGGUCGAGUCGGCCUGCGCGGAAGAUGUAACGGGGCUAAACCAUGCACCGAAGCUGCGGCAGCGACACUAUGUGUUGUUGGGUAGGGGAGCGUUCUGUAAGCCGUUGAAGGUGGCCUGUGAGGGUUGCUGGAGGUAUCAGAAGUGCGAAUGCUGACAUAAGUAACGAUAAUGCGGGUGAAAAACCCGCACGCCGGAAGACCAAGGGUUCCUGUCCAACGUUAAUCGGGGCAGGGUGAGUCGACCCCUAAGGCGAGGCCGAAAGGCGUAGUCGAUGGGAAACAGGUUAAUAUUCCUGUACUCGGUGUUACUGCGAAGGGGGGACGGAGAAGGCUAUGUUGGCCGGGCGACGGUUGUCCCGGUUUAAGCAUGUAGGCGGAUGUUCCAGGUAAAUCCGGAACGUUACUAACGCUGAGGUGUGAUGACGAGGCACUACGGUGCUGAAGUGACAAAUGCCCUGCUUCCAGGAAAAGCCUCUAAGCAUCAGGUAACAUCAAAUCGUACCCCAAACCGACACAGGUGGUCAGGUAGAGAAUACCAAGGCGCUUGAGAGAACUCGGGUGAAGGAACUAGGCAAAAUGGUGCCGUAACUUCGGGAGAAGGCACGCUGAUGGUAGGUGAAGCGACUUGCUCGUGGAGCUGAAAUCAGUCGAAGAUACCAGCUGGCUGCAACUGUUUAUUAAAAACACAGCACUGUGCAAACACGAAAGUGGACGUAUACGGUGUGACGCCUGCCCGGUGCCGGAAGGUUAAUUGAUGGGGUUAUCCGUAAGGAGAAGCUCUUGAUCGAAGCCCCGGUAAACGGCGGCCGUAACUAUAACGGUCCUAAGGUAGCGAAAUUCCUUGUCGGGUAAGUUCCGACCUGCACGAAUGGCGUAAUGAUGGCCAGGCUGUCUCCACCCGAGACUCAGUGAAAUUGAACUCGCUGUGAAGAUGCAGUGUACCCGCGGCAAGACGGAAAGACCCCGUGAACCUUUACUAUAGCUUGACACUGAACACUGGUCCUUGAUGUGUAGGAUAGGUGGGAGGCUUUGAAGUGUGGACGCCAGUCUGCAUGGAGCCAUCCUUGAAAUACCACCCUUUAAUGGCUGGUGUUCUAACGUGGGCCCCUGAUCGGGGUUGCGGACAGUGUCUGGUGGGUAGUUUGACUGGGGCGGUCUCCUCCUAAAGAGUAACGGAGGAGCACGAAGGUCAGCUAAUCCUGGUCGGACAUCAGGAGGUUAGUGCAAUGGCAUAAGCUGGCUUGACUGCGAGCGUGACGGCGCGAGCAGGUGCGAAAGCAGGUCAUAGUGAUCCGGUGGUUCUGAAUGGAAGGGCCAUCGCUCAACGGAUAAAAGGUACUCCGGGGAUAACAGGCUGAUACCGCCCAAGAGUUCAUAUCGACGGCGGUGUUUGGCACCUCGAUGUCGGCUCAUCACAUCCUGGGGCUGAAGUAGGUCCCAAGGGUAUGGCUGUUCGCCAUUUAAAGUGGUACGCGAGCUGGGUUUAGAACGUCGUGAGACAGUUCGGUCCCUAUCUGCCGUGGGCGCUGGAGAAUUGAGGGGGGCUGCUCCUAGUACGAGAGGACCGGAGUGGACGCAUCACUGGUGUUCGGGUUGUCAUGCCAAUGGCAUUGCCCGGUAGCUAAAUGCGGAAGAGAUAAGUGCUGAAAGCAUCUAAGCACGAAACUUGCCCCGAGAUGAGUUCUCCCUGACCCUUUAAGGGUCCUGAAGGAACGUUGAAGACGACGACGUUGAUAGGCCGGGUGUGUAAGCGCAGCGAUGCGUUGAGCUAACCGGUACUAAUGAACCGUGAGGCUUAACCUUACAACGCCGAAG